rnacentral:misc_RNA from 1 species
GAUGAAGAACGUAGCGAAAUGCGAUAGGUAAUGUGAAUUGCAGAAUUCAGUGAAUCAUCGAAUCUUUGAACGCACAUUGCACUCCUUGGUAUUCCGAGGAGUAUGCCUGUUUCAGUAUCAUGAGCACUCUCACAUCUAACCUUUGGGUUAAAAUGUGGAAUUGGGAUGCGCCGGUUAUUAUAACGGCCCUCCUAAAAUCCAGUUCUUGGCUGCUUCCUACUACAGCAGUUUGGCCUAAUAGUUUUGAGUCUUCGAUUCAAAUCUUUGGCUAACAUUUGCUUCAGGAUGUCAGUCUUGAUAUACAGAAAUCUCAUUCAAACUUUGAUCUGAAAUCAGGUAGGGCUACCCGCUGAACUUAAGCAUAUCAAUAAGCGGAGGA